rnacentral:rRNA from 1 species
UACAUGCAAGUCGAACGCUUUGAUUUCACCGGGUGCUUGCACCCACCGAAGUCAAAGAGUGGCGGACGGGUGAGUAACACGUGGGUAACCUGCCCAUAAGAGGGGGAUAACAUUCGGAAACGGAUGCUAAUACCGCAUACUUCUAAUCGCCUCCUGGCGAAUGGAAAAAGGUGGCUUCGGCUACCGCUUAUGGAUGGACCCGCGGCGUAUUAGCUAGUUGGUGAGGUAAUGGCUCACCAAGGCGAUGAUACGUAGCCGACCUGAGAGGGUGAUCGGCCACACUGGGACUGAGACACGGCCCAGACUCCUACGGGAGGCAGCAGUAGGGAAUCUUCCGCAAUGGACGAAAGUCUGACGGAGCAAUGCCGCGUGAGUGAAGAAGGUUUUCGGAUCGUAAAACUCUGUUGUUAGAGAAGAACAAGGAUGAGAGUAACUGCUCAUCCCCUGACGGUAUCUAACCAGAAAGCCACGGCUAACUACGUGCCAGCAGCCGCGGUAAU